GGCCUGGUUGGAUGGUCUGCCUUCGGGCAUGUACUGUCCUGACUGGGUCUUACCUUCUGGUGAGCUGUCGUUCUCCUAAAAAAGUGCGGCAGGGAACCAGGACUUUUACUUUGAAAAAAUUAGAGUGUUUAAAGCAGGCAUUCGCUUGAAUACAUUAGCAUGGAAUAAUAAAAUAGGACUUUGGUUCUAUUUUGUUGGUUUCUAGGACCGAAGUA
rnacentral:rRNA from 1 species